GUGCUCACUUUGGCAGCACUUAUACUAAAAUUGGAACAAUACAGAGAAGAUUAACAUGACCCCUGCACAAGGAUGACACACAAAUUUGUGAAAUGGUCCAAAUUCAA